GGGAUAAUAAACUUUCAGGCAAUGAGAGGAGUAUUAGACGCUCUUAUUGUCAAAACUAGUCGUUAUUGCACGAGUGCAACAACAACAGGGGGAUUAUUAUCUGGAAAUAAGCAGAAUAGCAGUAAAAGUUGUCCGAGUUCUAUUAAAUCGUCACCAUUGCAUAGCAAUGUCUGUGAUGACGACGUUAAAAAAUUUUACUCGAGGGAUAAUUCUGUUCAAGCAGCCAUUGCUCAUUGUAAGAAAUCAUUUGGAACACAAGCUGAAUUUGAUUUUCAUAUUUGACAGUGUUCUCUUAAUUGAGAUGAUUUUUGUAUAUAUAUAAUAAAAAGUUGAGUAAAGGUCCAUAGUUGGCCAAUGGAUGUCGAACUAUUAUAAUUUUGUUUCUGUGGUUAAUGAGUUGGGUUCAGAACAUUGUAAGUAAACAUAAUUUGAAACAUAUGUUCUAUAUAUCAUAAAUUAAAUAACAAGUCCAAAUCAUGUUAUGAUUACAAUGUCCUAAGGGUAUCUUACUUGUUGACCCCCACAACUGAGUAGACAAUUGAUGGCCAAUACCAAUGGACUAGACAUUAGGCCGAGUUCUUGACAUUGGCAAAAUGUCUAGAAUCAGCCCAUUGGUAUUUGCAACCAAUU
rnacentral:misc_RNA from 1 species